rnacentral:misc_RNA from 1 species
UACGUGAGCUCCAAGUGUUAUCCGGAAUCACUGGGCGUAAAGGGUGUGUAGGCGGUCAUAUUAGUCUUUUGUGAAAGAUCUCGGCUCAACCGAGGAAACGCAAGGGAAACGGUAUGACUUGAGGGUGUGAGAGGUGUACAGAACUCACGGUGUAGGGGUGAAAUCCGUUGAUAUCGUGGGGAAUACCAAAAGCGAAGGCAGUACACUGGCACAUUCCUGACGCUGAAACACGAAAGCUAGGGUAGCGAACGGG